AAUACUUACCACUAUACUACAACGACUUGUUGGUAUGAGUUAUUCCAGAAAGAUAGUAGUAAACACUUUUGAUUAGGUAUUAAGCCAAUAUUAGGAGGGAGCAAUAGUUAAUAGCAGAAAAGCGAGAUCAAUCAUAAAUCAGUUGAAGCAAUCGAAGAAUAAUAAUGGCGUUGAUGAUGAUGAUGAUGAGGGGUGAGCCAUUGGUGACGAAGCUGGCAGUGUUAGCCAAGUACGUGGUUCUUCCGGGAGCCAUGGCCGCUGCUGUCCUUUACUCUCCUCCCGAUUACGCCUCCUCCUCCUCCUCCGCCAACAACUCCUCCAAAUAGAUCAAGGUCACUCUUAUUUUUGGUUAGGGGCAUCUCGAUUGCUUAGGCAUGCAUAUUUGCAAUUUUGCAGAAGUCUUUGGUAAAAGGUGGCAUGUAAUAAUACUCAUGAUCUAAUGAUUGUUGAAUUUCAUGUAUAUUUGGAGAGAUGAAUGCAUGUUUUUGUUUGAAGAAUUUUGAGGAGUAGUUUCCUUUUUUCUGUAGCUUUGCUCACAAUUAAGUGUUAUCCAAUCAAGACAGCAUUGCCCCCAUUUAAACAUUGUGGAAUGUAUGAAUGCUCAAAUUUAGAAUAGCUGUGAUUGCUUGUGUUGUUACAUGAA